rnacentral:rRNA from 1 species
AGUGAACGCUGGCGGUAGGCCUAACACAUGCAAGUCGAACGGCAGCACAGUAAGAGCUUGCUCUUACGGGUGGCGAGUGGCGGACGGGUGAGGAAUACAUCGGAAUCUACUUUUUCGUGGGGGAUAACGUAGGGAAACUUAUGCUAAUACCGCAUACGACCUACGGGUGAAAGCAGGGGAUAUUCGGACCUUGCGCGAUUGAAUGAGCCGAUGUCGGAUUAGCUAGUUGGCGGGGUAAAGGCCCACCAAGGCGACGAUCCGUAGCUGGUCUGAGAGGAUGAUCAGCCACACUGGAACUGAGACACGGUCCAGACUCCUACGGGAGGCAGCAGUGGGGAAUAUUGGACAAAGGGCGCAAGCCUGAUCCAGCCAUACCGCGUGGGUGAAGAAGGCCUUCGGGUUGUAAAGCCCUUUUGUUGGGAAAGAAAAGCAGCAGGUUAAUACCCCGCUGUUCUGACGGUACCCAAAGAAUAAGCACCGGCUAACUUCGUG